UGGGGAAUAUUGCACAAUGGAGGGAACUCUGAUGCAGCGACGCCGCGUGAGUGAUGAAGGAAUUCGUUUCGUAAAACUCUGUUCUAUGGGAAGAAAAGGACUGUACCAUAGGAGAAAGCUCCGGCUAAAUACGUGCCAGCAGCCGCGGUAAUACGUAUGGAGCGAGCGUUGUCCGGAAUUAUUGGGCGUAAAGGGUGCGCAGGCGGCUUUACAAGUUGGAUGUGAAAUAUUGUGGCUCAACCACAAACGUGCAUCCAAAACUGCAAAGCUUGAGUUAAGGAGAGGUAAGUGGAAUUCCUGGUGUAGCGGUGGAAUGCGUAGAUAUCAGGAGGAAUACCGGUGGCGAAGGCGACUUACUGGACUUAAACUGACGCUCAGGCACGAAAGCGUGGGGAGCAAACAG
rnacentral:rRNA from 2 species